AAGUCGUAACAAGGUAACCGUAGGUGAACCUGCGGUUGGAUCAUUAAUGAAAUGUUUCUAACACCAGGAUGAGUUCUUGACUAGAAGGUUUUACCGCUGACUAGUCAAGACUUGUUCUAACACACCCUUGUGAAUUGUGAUGAAUGAAUCGUUGCUGAUAGUAGAGAGUUUUCUUUUUACUAGAAACAAUGGUUCAACCUUAAACAUACAAAGACCUUUUUUAAAAGGAUAUGAACCAAUGUCUUUGGACUGCGGGAAAUUGACUAGAUAAAAAAAACAACUUUUGACAACGGAUCUCUUGGCUCUC
rnacentral:misc_RNA from 1 species